CUCAAAGUUUCACCCAGCAACGUGACAGUUCCUCUCGGCUCCACCUGCUGCUUCUUUCCAGGACUUCUAAUUCUUAGAGGCAGGAGAUGAGGGUCCAGUUGUGUGUGUUGGUGACGCUGCUGCUCGGCGCUGCCUCCCCGACUCUCUCCGCCCAAGUCGGUUACGGAGCUGGCGAGAUCACUGGGGCACUGGCGGUAAGACAAGAGAGAUUCGCAUUAGUUCGGGUAGCUCUUGUGUGGUAGUGUGGACCCGCGACUUUCUCUUCCCUCUAGCAUUAUCUCUCCUGCUUUGUCUUCUCUGUCUGUAGGU